rnacentral:rRNA from 1 species
UACAGGGGGUGCAAACGUUGCUCGGAAUUAUUGGGCGUAAAGCGCGCGUAGGCGGCUACUUAAGUCGGAUGUGAAAGCCCCUUGCUCAACUGGGGAAGUGCACCCGAAACUGAGUGGCUUGAGUGCGAAAGAGGGUCGCGGAAUUCCCGGUGUAGAGGUGAAAUUCGUAGAUAUCAGGAGGAACACCGGUGGCGAAGGCGGGUCUCUGGGCCGAUAUUGACGCUGAGGAGCGAAAGCGUGGGGAGCGAACAGG